rnacentral:tRNA from 1 species
CAGAUUAAAGCUUGUUUAGGAAAGUGUUUCAUUUACAUUGAAAGAGAGUUGUGCAAAUCAAUAUAAUUUGA